UACGGAGGGUGCGAGCGUUGUCCGGAAUCACUGGGCGUAAAGGGCGCGUAGGCGGUCUGCUAAGCGUGCGGUGAAAGCCUGGGGCUCAACCCCAGGUCUGCCGUGCGAACUGGUGGACUAGAGCACUGUAGAGGCAGGUGGAAUUCCGGGUGUAGCGGUGGAAUGCGUAGAGAUCCGGAAGAACACCGGUGGCGAAGGCGGCCUGCUGGGCAGUUGCUGACGCUGAGGCGCGACAGCGUGGGGAGCAAACAGG
rnacentral:rRNA from 3 species